CAAGUACUCCCUCCGUCCGGAAUUACUUGUCAUCAAAAUGGAUGUGUCUAGAACUAAAAUACAUCUAGAUACAUCCAUUUCAAUGGCAAGUAUUUCCGGAUGGAGGGAGUAAAAG
rnacentral:pre_miRNA from 1 species